AACGAGCGCUGGCGGCAUGCCUAACACAUGCAAGUCGAACGAGACCCUCGGGCUUAGUGGCGCACGGGUGCGUAACGCGUGGGAACACGCCCUUAGGACCGGAAUAACUCCCCGAAAGGGGUGCUAGUACCGGAUAAUGUCCCCGCAUCAAAGAUUUAUCGCCCUUGGUUGGGUCCGCGUUGAAUUAGCUAGUUGGUAGGGUAAUACGCUACAAAGGCGAAGUUCCAUAGCUGGUCUGAGAAGAUGGUCAGCCACACUGGGACUGAGACACGGUCCAGACUCCUACGGUAGGCAGCAGUGGGGAAUAUUAGACAAUGGGCGAAAGCCUGAUCCGGCAAUGCCGCGUGAGUGAUGAAGGCCUUAGGGUUGUAAAGCUCUUUUACCCGGGAUGAUAAUGACAGUACCGGAAGAAUAAGCUCCGGCUAACUCCGUG
rnacentral:rRNA from 1 species